rnacentral:rRNA from 1 species
GACGAACGCUGGCGGCGUGCCUAAUACAUGCAAGUAGAACGCACAGUUUAUACCGUAGCUUGCUACACCAUAAACUGUGAGUUGCGAACGGGUGAGUAACGCGUAGGUAACCUGCCUGGUAGCGGGGGAUAACUAUUGGAAACGAUAGCUAAUACCGCAUAAUAUUGAUUAUUGCAUGAUAAUUGAUUGAAAGAUGCUAUUGCAUCACUACCAGAUGGACCUGCGUUGUAUUAGCUAGUAGGUGAGGUAACGGCUCACCUAGGCGACGAUACAUAGCCGACCUGAGAGGGUGAUCGGCCACACUGGGACGGAGACACGGCCCAGACUCCUACGGGAGGCAGCAGUAGGGAAUCUUCGGCAAUGGACGAAAGUCUGACCGAGCAACGCCGCGUGAGUGAAGAAGGUUUUCGGAUCGUAAAGCUCUGUUGUAAGAGAAGAACGGGUGUGAGAGUGGAAAGUUCACACUGUGACGGUAUCUUACCAGAAAGGGACGGCUAACCACGUG